rnacentral:rRNA from 1 species
GACGAACGCUGGCGGCGUGCUUAACACAUGCAAGUCGAACGGAGUGGCGAACGGGUGAGUAACACGUGGGUGACCUGCCCCGCACUUCGGGAUAAGCCUGGGAAACUGGGUCUAAUACCGGAUAGUGUGGGAUGGGCCCGCGGCCUAUCAGCUUGUUGGUGGGGUAAUGGCCUACUAAGGCGGCGACGGGUAGCCGGCCUGUGAGGGUGGACGGCCACAUUGGGACUGAGGCACGGCCCAGACUCCUACGGGGGGCAGCAGGGGGGAAUAUUGCACAGUGGGCGGAAGCCUGAUGCAGCGGCGCCGCGUGGGGAAUGACGGCCUUCGGGUUGUAAACUCCUUUCACCAUCGACGCGGUAGAUGGAGAAGAAGCACCGGCUAACUACGUGCCAGCCGCCGCGGUAAUUC